GCCUCUACACUGUAGUACUGUGAUGCCUCUACACUGUAGUACUGUGAUGCCUCUACACUGUAGUACUGUGAUGCCUCUACACUGUAAUACUGUGAUGCCUCUACACUGUAAUACUGUGAUGCCUCUACACUGUAAUACUGUGAUGCCUCUACACUGUAAUACUGUGAUGCCUCUAUACUGUAGUACUGUGAUGCCUCUAUACUGUAAUACUGUAGUACUGUAAUACUGUGUAGAGGCAUCAGUAUCUGAACAGAUUUGUAUUUAUUUAUUUUACCUUUAUUUCACUUGGCAAGUCAAUUAAGAAAAAUUACAAUGACGGCCUAGGAACAGUGGGUUAACUUCGUUGUUCAGCGGCAGGGAUUCAAUCUAGCAACCUUUCAGUUACUGGCCCAACGCUCUAACCACUAGGCUACCAGAGAUCACAGUAGAUUACAGCCCCAUAACAACAGAGAUCACAGUAGAUUACUGUCCCAUAACAACAGAGAUCACAGUAGGUUACAGCCUCACAACAACAGAGAUCACAGUAGAUUACUGUCCCAUAAAAACAGAGAUCACAGUAGAUUACAGUCCCAUAACAACAGAGAUCACAGUAGAUUACAGCCUCACAACAACAGAGAUCACAGUAGGUUACAGCCUCAUAACAACAGAGAUCACAGUAGAUUACAGCCUCAUAACAACAGAGAUCACAGUAGAUUACAGCCUCACAACAACAGAGAUCACAGUAGGUUACAGCCUCACAACAACAGAGAUCACAGUAGAUUACUGUCCCAUAAAAACAGAGAUCACAGUAGAUUACAGUCCCAUAACAACAGAGAUCACAGUAGAUUACAGCCUCACAACAACAGAGAUCACAGUAGGUUACAGC
rnacentral:lncRNA from 1 species